GCGUGUAGCAUCGUUCUGGGCCGUAGACGUUUAACAGGAGUUUGCAAAGUCAUCGUUUUUUCCUCAGAAGUGACGUAUUCAAUUCAUCCAUAAUCUAUCGUAGCACGAUUAGUCCUGCUGUGACUUUUUUACGAAAUAAAAAACGGUAUAUCACCCGACAGUUGCCGCUUGAGAUGUCUAUCGAAUGCUGUCACUUCGUUGGUCAAGUUAUAAUAAACUCUGGGCUUCUGCAAGGAUGUAUUUGGUAGGAGUUCGUCUUUUGAGUUCCUGUUCUAACGGUAAAGCUUCACGCAUGAUAAAGCUGCUCUCUUUAGCAUUAGGAUCCCCCUUUUUGAUACACUAUAUUUCACCUGACGACCACUCUGCUGUACGGGAUGAGUGCUGACAGUUUCCCGUAUGUUGUUGGCAGUUUUGGUAUAUACUAUGCCUCCUGUGGAUUUCUAAGCAACACGUCAAUUUCCUGACUGAACUCAUUGAAAGUGCAGAUGCUACCCAAUGAUUGAUUGAUUAUAGAUACU